rnacentral:rRNA from 1 species
UACAUGGGGUGCAAACGUUGCUCGGAAUUAUUGGGCGUAAAGCGCGCGUAGGCGGUUACUCAAGUCGGAUGUGAAAGCCCUCGGCUUAACUGAGGAAGUGCACCCGAAACUGAGUAGCUAGAGUACUAAAGAGGGUCGCGGAAUUCCCGGUGUAGAGGUGAAAUUCGUAGAUAUCGGGAGGAACACCGGUGGCGAAGGCGGCAUCCUGGACCGGUAUUGACGCUGAGGCGCGAAAGCUAGGGGAGCAAACGGG